rnacentral:rRNA from 1 species
UACGUAGGGGGCAAGCGUUGUCCGGAUUUAUUGGGCGUAAAGAGCGUGUAGGCGGCCAGGUAGGUCCGUUGUGAAAACUCGAGGCUCAACCUCGAGACGCCGAUGGAAACCAUCUGGCUAGAGUCCGGAAGAGGAGAGUGGAAUUCCCGGUGUAGCGGUGAAAUGCGCAGAUAUCGGGAAGAACACCCGUGGCUAAGGCGGCUCACUGGACCGGUACUGACGCUGACGCGCGAAAGCGUGGGGAGCAAACGGG